rnacentral:rRNA from 1 species
GAUGAACGCUGGCGGCGUGCCUAAUACAUGCAAGUCGAGCGAAUGGAUUAAGAGCUUGCUCUUAUGAAGUUAGCGGCGGACGGGUGAGUAACACGUGGGUAACCUGCCCAUAAGACUGGGAUAACUCCGGGAAACCGGGGCUAAUACCGGGUAACAUUUUGAACCGCAUGGUGCGAAAUUGAAAGGCGGCUUCGGCUGUCACUUAUGGAUGGACCCGCGUCGAAUUAGCUAGUUGGUGAGGUAACGGCUCACCAAGGCAACGAUGCGUAGCCGACCUGAGAGGGUGAUCGGCCACACUGGGACUGAGACACGGCCCAGACUCCUACGGGAGGCAGCAGUAGGGAAUCUUCCGCAAUGGACGAAAGUCUGACGGAGCAACGCCGCGUGAGUGAUGAAGGCUUUCGGGUCGUAAAACUCUGUUGUUAGGGAAGAACAAGUGCUAGUUGAAUAAGCUGGCACCUUGACGGUACCUAACCAGAAAGCCACGGCUAACUACGUGCCAGCAGCCGCCGUAA